rnacentral:other from 17 species
GUUCACUGCCGUAUAGGCAGCAAAAAAU